GAGAAGCUGCAAAGGCGCAGGAAGCAACCUAUUACUGUGCUUACUGGCAGCCCACAGCCCGAGAGAACCCCCAGCUGCCAGCACACAACUUGGCUGCGCUCUCCCUGCGGGCAGGGGCUGCAGCCCUCCCCUGGUGCUGCCCUGCUGCCUGGCUGGGCAGCUCACCUGGGCUGGGACGUGACAAACAGCACACGGGGCUGUGCGGCUGCUGUGGGCGACCGGCCUGCAAGGGGGAGAAGGGAAAGGGAGCUGCACGCCGGGGAGAGGCAAGGUCCAGUUUAACCCCAGGUGUCUGCUGGGUGUGGCUGUGGAGGGAAAUGGCCGCAAAUGCUUCUUGACCCCUUGGCACAUCGCACAGCCUCACUGGGUAACACAGAAACAAGUGAUUUCCGCUGCUCGGAUCUGCUUUGCCACCCCUCAAGUGUGACCCUGAGGCCAAACCUUCCACAGGUCCACAGGGAAGCUCCAAGUUCAAGCAGCAACCAUGUGGCUGCUGACAGCUCUUGUCCUGGCAGCUGCCUUCUCCUGUGGCUCUGCGCAAGCCCUGCUGCAAAGUCCGGUGUCCAUCACCAAGCCUGAAAGCAAAACGGUGCUCAUCACGUGCCGCAUCUCCGUCUCCAGCUUGGACAAAGUGUUCAUUCACUGGUACCGCAAGAGGCCUGGGGCAGCUCCUAAGCGCAUUGCCUACAUGGCAACCAGGCUGUUCCUUGAGAAUGAGUCUGAUGAGGGCAAAUUCAGCAUGGAGAAGGACCUGGCCAGAUCUGAGUGCACCCUGACAGUGGGCAGAGUCACUGCACAAGACGCUGCUACCUACUACUGUGCCAGAUGGGAUGCACAGCAGCACAGAGCCAUAGGGAACCUGCACAAAGUCAUGUUAUGUUUGCCCCAGACUAUGAGGGCCCUCUGUUCUGCUGCUUUCUCACAGCAUCUCCUGAUGGCUGCGUGGGGCCCCUCUCUGGGUGGCCGCUACUGAGUCACAUCCUCCCCUCAGGCACAGCCCCUGUCCCUCCCACACAGCUGGGGGCUUUCUCUGGGGCAGAGGCAAGCAGGCACCGAGAGAAUGCUGCUGC